UGCCCCUCUAUAAUGCUUCUUCUCAUCAUCAUCAGCCGGUUUGGCUUUAGGUGUCGAAGACCGCUUUACCGAACCAGAACCUGAAUACUCUUGAGAUUUUAAGUCAACAAAUUCGUGGGUAUAUUGAAACGAGUCGGAAACAGAGGAGUUGGAUUCAGACCCAGAUAAAGAUUCAUCUUGGGUUUCAAGUUUAACGGGUUGGAG
rnacentral:misc_RNA from 1 species